rnacentral:lncRNA from 1 species
AGCCCCUGGAGGGAUCUGAUGCAGCUGGCGGGGAGAAAGGUGCCUAGAGGAGGUCUCUCAUAGAUGCCCACGUUCUCUUGACAAGAUAUUUGGGGAGGACCCCUGGCUACUGUCACUGCUGCCAUGCCUGCCAGGAGGAGGCACCUUCCUGACACUUCACUGCUGCUGCUCAGCAGGCCUGCCAAGUGGUUCUGCUGUGUUCUAGGAGAAACAGGAAAAAUGCCUCUCCUCCCACUUUGCACUGUGCUUUGUCACCUGGGCCCUAAAACACCAUUGCCUGCCCCUGACGCCCCAACAGCUCCCUCUACCAAACUGAGGCUGGGCUGGGAGACUAGGCACUACACCAUUCCAUUCUCCCUUCUCUUCUUCCAUUCUCCCUUCCCUCCCUCUCUUCUUCCCACUGCCUCCAAGACACCUGUACUGGAACUUUGUCCAUUCUUACACUCACACACACACACAUGCACAUGCAUAUGUGUACACACAAAAGUCUCUUGUCCAUCAGAUCAUACAAAUAUAUGCUUGGGACAGGGGUGAUCACAUGCCCCACAUGCCCAGUGGACAUUUAGGCUCAGAUAGGACAAUUCUUUCACAAGGAUGACAAAACCUACCUUCCGUGGUUGCUGUGAGAACAAGAAAUUGUACAUACAGUGCCCAUUCUACAGCAAACCCAACAAUGAUUUAAAAUCCACAAUAGGCCGUGCGGUGGCUCACGCCUGUAAUCCCAGUACUUUGGGGGGCUGAGGCGGGCGGAUCACGAGAUCAGGAGAUCGAGACCAUCCUGGCUAACACGGUGAAACCCCGUCUCUAUUAAAAAUAUAAAAAAUUAGCCAGGCAUGGUGGCAGGCGCCU